AGUGAACGCUGGCGGUAGGCCUAACACAUGCAAGUCGAACGGCAGCACAGUAAGAGCUUGCUCUUACGGGUGGCGAGUGGCGGACGGGUGAGGAAUACAUCGGAAUCUACUUUUUCGUGGGGGAUAACGUAGGGAAACUUACGCUAAUACCGCAUACGACCUACGGGUGAAAGCAGGGGAUCUUCGGACCUUGCGCGAUUGAAUGAGCCGAUGUCGGAUUAGCUAGUUGGCGGGGUAAAGGCCCACCAAGGCGACGAUCCGUAGCUGGUCUGAGAGGAUGAUCAGGCACACUGGAACUGAGACACGGUCCAGACUCCUACGGGAGGCAGCAGUGGGGAAUAUUGGACAAUGGGCGCAAGCCUGAUCCAGCCAUACCGCGUGGGUGAAGAAGGCCUUCGGGUUGUAAAGCCCUUUUGUUGGGAAAGAAAAGCAGCAGGUUAAUACCCCGCUGUUAUGACGGUACCCAAAGAAUAAGCACCGGCUAACUUCGUG
rnacentral:rRNA from 1 species